UGAGUGAGAAUCAAAGUGACAAUUCUUGAAAUUUGAAAGCUAUUUGCAAUCGCAUUACAAGCAGUACAUCGACACAACUCAAUAAUAAGACCAAGAUCACCAUUAGCUCCAACUCAUUUUACCAGUAAUCAUUACAAGAGCAUUUCCCAUCCUUGAAAUGAUGGAAUCGAUUGGAAUCCCUCACCACAAUUUCUCUUCCUUUGACGAUUGAAAAGUAUUUGAAUGCUGUG
rnacentral:misc_RNA from 1 species